rnacentral:misc_RNA from 1 species
GAUGAAGAACGCAGCGAAAUGCGAUAAGUAAUGUGAAUUGCAGAAUUCAGUGAAUCAUCGAAUCUUUGAACGCACAUUGCGCCCGCCAGUAUUCUGGCGAGCAUGCCUGUUCGAGCGUCAUUUCAACCAUCAAGCCCCAGGCUUGUGUUGGAGCCCUGCGGCUGCCGCAGCCUCCCAAAACCAGUGGCGGGCUCGCUAUCACACCGAGUGCAGUAGUUUACUCUUCGCUCAGGGCGUGUGGCGGGUGCUAGCCGUGAAACCCCCAACUUCUCAAGGUUGACCUCGGAUCAGGUAGGAAUACCCGCUGAACUUAAGCAUAUCAAUAAGCGGAGGG